CGAAGCUGUACACGGAGAAAAUGGAAAAUACUAAUUAGUAUGAGAUAUAUUAUUUUUCAUACAUUAUUCCUUUUUAAUCAUUGGUAAUCUUAAAAAUCAAUCGUUGCUAUAUUACAUUUUAUACUUCAUGAUGCUUAUUAUUGAUUAAUUUUUUGCCGUGCUUUUCUAGAGAUUCAUGUUACUGUUCGGACUUACAUCUGGUAUCUGGUUUCAUUCGGCUCUCAUCUCAUCGAAAUCCGAUCACGUUCUUCAAUAAUUCAUCAAUGUCGCUUGAAUUCGAUAUUAUGUGAUCGUUUAAUAGUGUCGCGAGUGAAAACUGUCGAACGAAGAACUGGAACGGGAAUUUAUUGCUCUAAACAUCAUGAUUCACAGUAGAUCACCCGCCAGUAUAUCAUUCUAUUUGAAAGUCUAUUGUAUCCAGUAGUCAUAUGAAACAACUUCAUUGAAGGAAUUUUCAUCCCAGGGAAGCUGCGGCAAGAAAAAAUAACAAAAUGAAUGGAUGAAUAGCGAUAAGUUCAUUUUGCUAAAGGAGCUCCAUUCCGAACAUCGUGAGCUAAUCAGAAGUAACUGCGGCAAGGAUGUGGAUAACGGAUUUUAAUCGAUGCGGAAACGGAUCCGAGGAAGAAUGAACUAUAAACAGGAAAGCUAAAUACACUUGUAAGGAAUUAGAUGUAAGAUACAAUACAAAUGAAAAUAAACACUUUACAUGCUGUUUUCCUUCCUCACGUUUUCGAUGCUUUUGUUUACAGUUAUUUAAUGAAAA